UGCCCAGCAACUCCUAUCCCUACCUCCUCGCGGUACUGGCCGGGGUACGAGUAACCUUAGGGAAGAUCGGGUAACCAACCCCGGUGAGAAUUCUGGUCGUAUGCUGACAGGGAAGU
rnacentral:ribozyme from 1 species